CUGAGGGACACCUGAGGGGUGCUGGACACACCACCUGUACUCAUCACCCGCCUUUGAUGGAUGUGAUCCAGAGACUGGGGGGAGGAUGGUUAAGAGAGAGCUGGCCCGGAGCUGUGCAUCUUCAUCCCCAGGUGGGAGGAGAGGGGUGUGCAGCCCCCAGGCCCGGGGAGGAGCUUGGCGAGAACGGCCCGCUUGCAGAGAGCUGGUCCCCCCGAGCCCGCUGGAGGCUGGAGGACACUAAGGCGUGCCCGCUGCACUGCGUGUUCGAGACCAGCCAUGACCAUCCUCGGAGCUUCACGGGAAGCGCGUGCCGGGACCACUUUCCUCAGAGGAGCUGUGUGGACCUGCUCCUCGGCCUGCCUGUCGCACAUCCUUACAGCCCUCAGGGACAGAUAUUAUUAUCCCCAUCUUACAGGUGCCGGCGCCAUGCCGAGUAAUUUACCUGCUUCCUCUCUCAAUCCACGUAACCACCCCACGAGAUGGACACAUUGUUAUCCCAUUUCACAGAUAAGAAAGUUGAGGCCCAGAGAGGAGGACGGCCGUGCCCCCGGCCCCGGUUACCGGAGCGUCAGGCUGAAGACCAGGCGGCUCGCGGCCUCGGCCCACGGCUUGUGCCGGUCAGGGAUCCGCAAAGGACUGCUCCUGUCGCUAUCAAACCCAGACCCCAAUUCCGCACCAACUGAGGGAAAAACCGACCGAUCUCCUUGUUUCAUCUACAUAAAGGCUGUGCCCACGUGCCCAGUGGGCGAUUUUUUUUCACUUUUUAAAACUGGGGUAAAAUACACAUAACAUAAAAUUUA